rnacentral:lncRNA from 1 species
UAAAUAAUUUUUUAUAGUGUAAAUGCAAAAUAAGUUCCUACAUACAGUAGUAAAGAUAACUAGAGUAUGAAAUUUAAUUUACAAUAACAAGUAGACCCCCGAAUAAACAAAAGUAAAGAGGACUGUGAGCCUACAAUUUGGAGGAUGCAAAUCCAAUGAUAGUCCUUGAUGAGAUCAGCUAUCUACAGCCUAUUCUGAGCUUGAAAUGGAUGGAAAAGGGAGUGGUAAGAUUAUAAAAUCUCAGUGAGUAAACAGACAUCAUCAUAAACAUCUAGAGUUGAGAACAUGGAGACGAUAAAGUAAAUCAUCGUAAACUGGGUCACAGCAUUAGAACACAUUUCAUUCAAAAUACGUAAUGAGGCUUAUGAAUCUCAUAAAAACUAGGCUUGUGCCAUAAAUCCAUCCUCGGGGACACCUUGGUCGAGGCAUCCUACCGAGACCGCCAAGGCUGUUAAAAAUUCACAUUUCGCAUAAAUCAUGUUUUUAUUUUGAAAACAUAGCCGUUCCUUGGAGUUGGCUAAGUUUCCCCUUACGUGGUGGUUUGGCGUGAAGUGAACCCUAAGCUUUACCCCAGGAGAUACCCUACGCGCCUCUCCGUUCGAGAUAGGAAUAUAAUGGGGUUUACCGUGCCCCUCUAAAAGGCUGGUUCACAGAAACCCCCUACUGCAGUGAUUAAUUAAUAUAUAAUCCACCAAUUCAAUAAAAUUUGCAAUAGCAUGACAUGGCAAUUAUUUUAUUCACAGCCUUUCAAGGCAAACAAAUAAUUUGUAUUUCAAUACAAUUGCCAACCAGCCAAUCAUGCUCGAUUUAUCAUAAGCUAAUCAAUUUAAACAAUCAAAUUAUAACAAUUAACAAUCUCCGUGUACUCUAUUUUUCAACAUCAUUAUUAAUUUUAAAAUAAUUUAUAAAUUAAUUUCAUUGAAACACAUUUAUUCAUAAAAUAUGAAAAUUUACCUUUUUAAAUCCCUUUUUCCAUAGAAUUCACAAAAUCAUUUAAAAACCACCCUAGAUAAUUAAAAUGACAGUAAGUUUACUCACAAUGUCUAGAGUGCAGAUUUUCAAAGUACUCAGACUAUUGGUCCUCGGGUGCAAUUUCCUUGCCUUUAUCGGAGGACUCACCACCUUGACACAGUACAAAAAUCGAGAAACUUACUACAUUGGUACUAAAUUGAAAUUAAACUAAUUUAGACUACUAAUGCAUGAUAUGGAAUGCAAAAUGCACUGGUAACCAUCUAAAUUUGGUAUCGGCCUAAUUCGUCUUAUCACCCGAUUAAUUGGCCAACGCGUCCAAUUUAGCUCCAAAUUGCUCCAUUUCUUUUCCAAUAUCUUAAUUCACCAAACUCAAGUCAAAUAACCUAAAAUUUUACAAAACUAUCUUCACUUUUCUUUUUAGAAUUUUCAGUCAAUAAUGGUGCAUUAAUACCAUGAUUUUUUCUACUACUUUUCCACACUAUAAUUCAUCAUUUUCUAACCAAUUCUCUUAAAAUAAAAAUCAAAUUCAUUCUCACUCAACACAAGGUAGGUUCAGCCAUUGAUGGAUGUUGGGGAAUAUGAACUCUUUUCUUGUUAUUUUGUUUCUAGACAUGGUAAACUAACUAAAAUCACUAACAUAACUUAGAAUCAAAUCAAUCUAACAUCAUUCUCUCUCCAUACCCAUUCCGACCAGCCAUGAAUUCAUCAUGAAAACAUGUAAUUUAACCAUGAAAAAUGAGGAGAAAUGCAUGGGAAAGGUAGAUCUCAAGUUUUAUUGAAAAAAUAUUACCUUUUUCACUUGUUUCCUUGAAUUUUCACCAAUUUUCCCUUGAAUUUCUCCACCUAGGGUUUGUUCUCCUCCUUUUUCCCUUUGUUCUUGGUGUGGC